rnacentral:rRNA from 1 species
AGAGUUUGAUCAUGGCUCAGAUUGAACGCUGGCGGCAGGCCUAACACAUGCAAGUCGAACGGUAACAGGAAGAAGCUUGCUUCUUUGCUGACGAGUGGCGGACGGGUGAGUAAUGUCUGGGAAACUGCCUGAUGGAGGGGGAUAACUUACUGGAAACGGUAGCUAAUACCGCAUAACGUCGCAAGACCAAAGAGGGGGACCUUCGGGCCUCUUGCCAUCGGAUGUGCCCAGAUGGGAUUAGCUAGUAGGUGGGGUAACGGCUCACCUAGGCGACGAUCCCUAGCUGGUCUGAGAGGAUGACCAGCCACACUGGAACUGAGACACGGUCCAGACUCCUACGGGAGGCAGCAGUGGGGAAUAUUGCACAAUGGGCGCAAGCCUGAUGCAGCCAUGCCGCGUGUAUGAAGAAGGCCUUCGGGUUGUAAAGUACUUUCAGCGGGGAGGAAGGGAGUAAAGUUAAUACCUUUGCUCAUUGACGUUACCCGCAGAAGAAGCACCGGCUAAUUCCGUGCCAGCAGCCGCGGUAAUACGGAGGGUGCAAGCGUUAAUCGGAAUUACUGGGCGUAAAGCGCACGCAGGCGGUUUGUUAAGUCAGAUGUGAAAUCCCCGGGCUCAACCUGGGAACUGCAUCUGAUACUGGCAAAGCUUGAGUCUCGUAGAGGGGGGUAGAAUUCCAGGUGUAGCGGUGAAAUGCGUAGAGAUCUGGAGGAAUACCGGUGGCGAAGGCGGCCCCCUGGACGAAGACUGACGCUCAGGUGCGAAAGCGUGGGGAGCAAACAGGAUUAGAUACCCUGGUAGUCCACGCCGUAAACGAUGUCGACUUGGAGGUUGUGCCCUUGAGGCGUGGCUUCCGGAGCUAACGCGUUAAGUCGACCGCCUGGGGAGUACGGCCGCAAGGUUAAAACUCAAAUGAAUUGACGGGGGCCCGCACAAGCGGUGGAGCAUGUGGUUUAAUUCGAUGCAACGCGAAGAACCUUACCUGGUCUUGACAUCCACGGAAGUUUUCAGAGAUGAGAAUGUGCCUUCGGGAACCGUGAGACAGGUGCUGCAUGGCUGUCGUCAGCUCGUGUUGUGAAAUGUUGGGUUAAGUCCCGCAACGAGCGCAACCCUUAUCCUUUGUUGCCAGCGGUCCGGCCGGGAACUCAAAGGAGACUGCCAGUGAUAAACUGGAGGAAGGUGGGGAUGACGUCAAGUCAUCAUGGCCCUUACGACCAGGGCUACACACGUGCUACAAUGGCGCAUACAAAGAGAAGCGACCUCGCGAGAGCAAGCGGACCUCAUAAAGUGCGUCGUAGUCCGGAUUGGAGUCUGCAACUCGACUCCAUGAAGUCGGAAUCGCUAGUAAUCGUGGAUCAGAAUGCCACGGUGAAUACGUUCCCGGGCCUUGUACACACCGCCCGUCACACCAUGGGAGUGGGUUGCAAAAGAAGUAGGUAGCUUAACCUUCGGGAGGGCGCUUACCACUUUGUGAUUCAUGACUGGGGUGAAGUCGUAACAAGGUAACCGUAGGGGAACCUGCGGUUGGAUCACCU